GAUGAACGCUGGCGGCGUGCCUAAUACAUGCAAGUCGAGCGUACAGACGAGGAGCUUGCUCCUCUGACGUUAGCGGCGGACGGGUGAGUAACACGUGGAUAACCUACCUAUAAGACUGGGAUAACUUCGGGAAACCGGAGCUAAUACCGGAUAAUAUAUUGAACCGCAUGGUUCAAUAGUGAAAGACGGUUUUGCUGUCACUUAUAGAUGGAUCCGCGCCGCAUUAGCUAGUUGGUAAGGUAACGGCUUACCAAGGCAACGAUGCGUAGCCGACCUGAGAGGAUGAUCGGCCACACUGGAACUGAGACACGGUCCAGACUCCUACGGGAGGCAGCAGUGGGGAAUAUUCGGCAAUGGGCGAAAGCCUGACGGAGCAAUGCCGCGUGAGUGAUGAAGGUCUUCGGAUCGUAAAACUCUGUUAUUAGGGAAGAACAAAUGUGUAAGUAACUAUGCACGUCUUGACGGUACCUAAUCAAAAAGCCCCGGCUAACUACGUG
rnacentral:rRNA from 1 species